GUGAGUAGGUUCAGAGUUUGAUCCUGGCUCAGGAUGAACGCUAGCGGCGUGCAUAACACAUUCAAGUCGAACGGUGAAGUUUCUUCGGAAACGGAUCAGUGGCGGACGGGUGAGUAACGCGUGAGCAACCUGCCUGUUAAAGAGGGAUAACACAUGGAAACGUGUGCUAAUACCGCAUGAAGCAACGAAAUCGCAUGUUUUUGUUGUUAAAGGGUUACCGAUAACAGAUGGGCUCGCGUUGGAUUAGGUAGUUGGUAGGGUAACGGCCUACCAAGCCGACGAUCCAUAGCCGAACUGAGAGGUUGAACGGCCACAUUGGAACUGAGAAACGGUCCAG
rnacentral:rRNA from 1 species